AAUUAAUGAACUUGAUAAGUAUAUGAUUUGAAAUCAUAAUAUAGAAAUAAAAUUUUCUAUUAAUUU
rnacentral:tRNA from 1 species